rnacentral:rRNA from 1 species
UACGUAGGGUGCGAGCGUUAAUCGGAAUUACUGGGCGUAAAGUGUGCGCAGGCGGCAGAGCAAGUCGAGUGUGAAAGCCCCGGGCUUAACUUGGGAAUUGCGCUCGAAACUACUUUGCUGGAGUGUGGCAGAGGAAGGUGGAAUUCCACGUGUAGCGGUGAAAUGCGUAGAGGUGUGGAGGAACACCAAUGGCGAAGGCAGCCUUCUGGGCCAACACUGACGCUCAUGCACGAAAGCGUGGGGAGCAAACAGG